rnacentral:rRNA from 1 species
UACGUAGGGUGCGAGCGUUAAUCGGAAUUACUGGGCGUAAAGCGUGCGCAGGCGGUUUUGUAAGCCAGGUGUGAAAUCCCCGGGCUCAACCUGGGAAUGGCAUUUGGGACUGCAAGGCUGGAGUGCGGCAGAGGAGACUGGAAUUCCUGGUGUAGCAGUGAAAUGCGUAGAUAUCAGGAGGAAUACCGAUGGCGAAGGCAGGUCUCUGGGCUGACACUGACGCUCAUGCACGAAAGCUGGGGGAGCGAACAGG